CGCACUUGCACAGUAGGUGGCAAAACCACUGAGCUAAAUCCCCGGCCCCAACUGUGUACAUUUCAUAAAGGGGAGGCAUGUACUAUAUUUUGACAUCCCCAGCAGAGUGUGAGGAACACCCCACAACCAAAUGCAUUUCUGCAGCAAAAUAUAUGAAUAUACAUAUUAAAUGGAAGAGAUAAAGAUUACACAUGGACUCACGUCCCUUAAGGUCAGGGUUGACUAUCAAAUGAGUUCAGGUCAGGGGUCCUACCAAAUGCAUUAUGAAAACUUUAGGAUUACAAAUCUUUGGUUGCAGUUAUGGGUCCAUGGAUCAGGCAAUUCUCCGAACAAUCCAAAAAUGAGGCAAAGAUCCAUCAACAAGACAUGAGAGCCACAUAGAUAACAUCUGUCCCUACCUUCAAAAGAAAAAAACUGGGGAACACACAGGAAAAUGCUCUUGUCCCAGUUCACAGCUAAUGAGUGGCAAAGCUAAACUAGAAUCCAGUUUCCUAUUUAGAUUCUAGAAUUCUACCCAACAAGCCAACAAUUACAUAACAGAAUGUGCCUCUCUCCGUGGAUCUCAUGCUGUGUGGUCCACUCACAGCACAAUCUUUCUUCAUUAUCCUCCAACUGGAGCAGACACAUCCCAUAUCCAGGGAAAAGGUGAGGAGAAGAGAGUCCUGGCCUCUAUAUCCACAGAGAGAGCUGAUGUCAACAGUUAAGUUUCUACUGAAAUACUACUGAAGUCCUUCAGAGCUUAGAACAUCAAAACUAAAGCCAUCUGAGAAAAUAGGAGAAUAGUUUAUAUUUUCUCCUGAGAAGACUGACCAGGGAAGAAUGGCACAGUUCUGGAGGGCGCCAUUCCCCAGGCUUCUCAGGGCAGUGAGGUGACCUGGUGCAACCACAACAGCAGAAGACAGAGCGCAACCACCACACGCACACGGAGGAAUAGAUCUGCCCUGUCUUCUACAGGACCUUUUCAGAUACAUGCUCUGUGAAGUAAGAUUUCCAGUCGUGAAGCUAUGAAGAAGUUCACAUUGAUUCAAGGGAUUCUGCUAUUAAAAAAAACAAAAACCA